rnacentral:rRNA from 1 species
AACGCUGGCGGCAGGCCUAACACAUGCAAGUCGAGCGGAAACGAGUUAUCUGAACCUUCGGGGRACGAUAACGGCGUCGAGCGGCGGACGGGUGAGUAAUGCCUAGGAAAUUGCCCUGAUGUGGGGGAUAACCAUUGGAAACGAUGGCUAAUACCGCAUGAUGCCUACGGGCCAAAGAGGGGGACCUUCGGGCCUCUCGCGUCAGGAUAUGCCUAGGUGGGAUUAGCUAGUUGGUGAGGUAAGGGCUCACCAAGGCGACGAUCCCUAGCUGGUCUGAGAGGAUGAUCAGCCACACUGGAACUGAGACACGGUCCAGACUCCUACGGGAGGCAGCAGUGGGGAAUAUUGCACAAUGGGCGCAAGCCUGAUGCAGCCAUGCCGCGUGUGUGAAGAAGGCCUUCGGGUUGUAAAGCACUUUCAGUCGUGAGGAAGGUAGUGUAGUUAAUAGCUGCAUUAUUUGACGUUAGCGACAGAAGAAGCACCGGCUAACUCCGUGCCAGCAGCCGCGGUAAUACGGAGGGUGCGAGCGUUAAUCGGAAUUACUGGGCGUAAAGCGCAUGCAGGUGGUUUGUUAAGUCAGAUGUGAAAGCCCGGGGCUCAACCUCGGAAUAGCAUUUGAAACUGGCAGACUAGAGUACUGUAGAGGGGGGUAGAAUUUCAGGUGUAGCGGUGAAAUGCGUAGAGAUCUGAAGGAAUACCGGUGGCGAAGGCGGCCCCCUGGACAGAUACUGACACUCAGAUGCGAAAGCGUGGGGAGCAAACAGGAUUAGAUACCCUGGUAGUCCACGCCGUAAACGAUGUCUACUUGGAGGUUGUGGCCUUGAGCCGUGGCUUUCGGAGCUAACGCGUUAAGUAGACCGCCUGGGGAGUACGGUCGCAAGAUUAAAACUCAAAUGAAUUGACGGGGGCCCGCACAAGCGGUGGAGCAUGUGGUUUAAUUCGAUGCAACGCGAAGAACCUUACCUACUCUUGACAUCCAGAGAACUUUCCAGAGAUGGAUUGGUGCCUUCGGGAACUCUGAGACAG